rnacentral:rRNA from 1 species
CUCAGAUUGAACGCUGGCGGCAGGCUUAACACAUGCAAGUCGAGCGGAAACGAUGGUAGCUUGCUACCAGGCGUCGAGCGGCGGACGGGUGAGUAAUACUUAGGAAUCUACCUAGUAGUGGGGGAUAGCUCGGGGAAACUCGAAUUAAUACCGCAUACGACCUACGGGAGAAAGGGGGCAAYUUGUUGCUCUCGCUAUUAGAUGAGCCUAAGUCGGAUUAGCUAGAUGGUGGGGUAAAGGCCUACCAUGGCGACGAUCUGUAGCUGGUCUGAGAGGAUGAUCAGCCACACCGGGACUGAGACACGGCCCGGACUCCUACGGGAGGCAGCAGUGGGGAAUAUUGGACAAUGGGCGAAAGCCUGAUCCAGCCAUGCCGCGUGUGUGAAGAAGGCCUUUUGGUUGUAAAGCACUUUAAGCAGUGAAGAAGACUCCWYGGUUAAUACCCAYGGACGAUGACAU